UACGGAGGAUGCGAGCGUUAUCCGGAUUUAUUGGGUUUAAAGGGUACGUAGGUGGCCAGUUAAGUCAGUGGUGAAAACCUGUCGCUCAACGAUAGGCGUGCCAUUGAUACUGAUUGGCUUGAGUACAGAUGAGGUAAGCGGAAUGUGUAGUGUAGCGGUGAAAUGCAUAGAUAUUACACAGAACUCCGAUUGCGAAGGCAGCUUACUAAACUGACACUGACGCUGAGGUACGAAAGCGUGGGUAG
rnacentral:rRNA from 1 species